UACGUAGGGGGCAAGCGUUGUCCGGAAUUAUUGGGCGUAAAGAGCGCGUAGGCGGUCCGAUAAGUCGGCUGUGAAAGUCAGGGGCUCAACUGGGGAGGGUCACGCGAUACUGAUCGACUCGAAGGCAGGAGAGGGUAGUGGAAUUCCCGGUGUAGUGGUGAAAUGCGUAGAUAUCGGGAGGAACACCAGUGGCGAAGGCGACUACCUGGCCUGUUCUUGACGCUGAGGCGCGAAAGCUAGGGGAGCAAACGGG
rnacentral:rRNA from 1 species